GCAAUCAAUACAAGUACAAGAAAUUCCAACCAAGAACAGUAUUCAAGCAAGAUUGCAUAAGGAAGGUAUCAAACAACAUAACACAUCCUAUGUUAUUACAAGCAUUCCCAUUAGAUUCAUUUUUACAUCACAUUUGCAUUAUUACAUUACAUUUUCUUCCAAAUACAAUUAAUGAUCACAAUAUUAUUACAAGUUUGCUCUUUUUUUCUUUUCCCUCUACCCCUAGGCUAUGCCGACUCAUGGUACCUCUAUCUCUGGUCUCUGGGGUAGGGCGCUAUCUAUGGAGCUACGCCCUCGCCUUGCGCCGCCGCACCGCUCACGUGCGAACCUGUAACACUCCAAAACAACGUGGGGUGAGAACCAACUCUAUGGUUCCCAGUGGGUACGGCCACCCAAGGGAAG
rnacentral:lncRNA from 1 species